AAUGAAGGGCAAAAGGUCGGCCGUUCUGCCAAUCCGGUCAGGUUCGGAAGAAAGCAGCCGCAACAGAAAAUCCGAGGUUUUUGUCCCUUCGCCUUU
rnacentral:SRP_RNA from 1 species